rnacentral:rRNA from 1 species
ACUCAAAUGAAUUGACGGGGGUCCGCACAAGCGGUGGAGUAUGUGGUUUAAUUCGAUGAUACGCGAGGAACCUUACCAGGGCUAGAAUGCGAGUGAAGGCAUCUGAAAGGAUGCUGUCUAGCAAUAGACACAAAGCAAGGUGCUGCAUGGCUGUCGUCAGCUCGUGCCGUGAGGUGUUGGGUUAAGUCCCGCAACGAGCGCAACCCUUGUCAUUAGUUGCCAACAGGUAAAGCUGGGGAUUCUAAUGAGACUGCCGUCGUAAGACGCGAGGAAGGAGGGGAUGAUGUCAAGUCAUCAUGGCCUUUAUGCCCUGGGCUACACACGUACUACAAUGGUAGGGACAAAGAGGAGCUACUUGGUAACAAGACGCGAAUCUCAAAAACCCUAUCCCAGUUCGGAUCGCAGUCUGCAACUCGACUGCGUGAAGCUGGAAUCGCUAGUAAUCGUAGAUCAGCAAUGCUACGGUGAAUACGUUCCCGGACCUUGCACACACCGCCCGU